rnacentral:misc_RNA from 1 species
GAUGAAGAACGUAGAGAAAUGCGAUAAGUAAUGUGAAUUGCAGAAUUCAGUGAAUCAUCGAAUCUUUGAACGCACCUUGCGCCUUUUGGUAUUCCGAAAGGCACACCUGUUUGAGCGUCAUGAAUACCUCAAUCUCCAUCUUUUCUUCGGAUUGAUGGGUGACUUGGAUGUUGAGCCCUGCUGGUAUGCUAUAUCAGCUGGCUUUAAACUUAUUAGCCGGCUCUGUACUGGAUCGGUUUGACUCGACGUGAUAAUAUUAUCGUUGAGGAUGCAUGUCUCAUGCAGCCGGAAAGUAUCAAAGCAGCUUCUAGCUUGCCUUUAGUGCACUUUUACAUUUUAGACCUCAGAUCAGGUGGGACUACCCGCUGAACUUAAGCAUAUCAAUAAGCGGAGGA